AUAAUUCAUAAAUCAUAAUCAUACGUCAACGAUUAACAAUAGGAUCUAAGAAUACAGACAGGUUCACCUUGACUACAAAAGCGACGUCAACCUACACGAAUGCGCUAAACUUAAAAAAAGCAGCUAGAUUUUUAUUGCAAGCACGAAAAGCACCACCUCAACCCCAACGUCCCUUUUACGAUAUGCUUCCUCGCCGGCCCCUCCUCUUCCUCUUCCUUCUCCUCGUCGUCGCCGGCCUCAUCUCUGCCUCUAUCGCCGACGUCUACGUCGGCACAGCCGCUAAAUAUAUCCCUCCUUAUUUACCGACGAGAUGUUACGGGAAGGACGCGACGGAACUUCCGACGAGCAAUUAUUUCGCGGCGGCGGGGGAAGGGAUAUGGGACAACGGGGCGGCGUGCGGGAGGCAGUACGCCGUGAAGUGCAUCAGCGCAAGGGCGCCGGCGGCCUGUAUAGGUGAUCGCGCCAUUCAGAUCAAGAUUGUGGAUUACGCAGCUAGUAUGGCAGCGCAGCCAUCCGUCGCCGGCACAACCAUGGUUUUAUCCGGCCCCGCUUUUGCUGCCAUUGCCAAUACAUCUGUUGCUCGGGCCACCUACAUCAACCUAGAAUUUCAACAGGUGUAGUAAGAAAAUGGGGUACCUGAAUAUGAAGGGUAGCCAGGAGAAUGAAGGAAAAUAUAUGCUGCAAUAAGAACAGUUUCUAAUUGAAUUGGGUUCCCCCCAGAGUGGAGCCAAUGUUGGGUGUGAAGUUCUAUCCUAUUUAUCUAUUAGAUGGAAUCUGGUUGCGGCAUUUAACACAACAAAGGAGAAGAAGGAUCGUGAGCCUCGUGCACCCAUCUCUCAUGUGUCGUCGCGUGGGCGGUGGGCACGACCCAUAUCAUUUUUUUUUUGAAGAUAAACAUUCAUUCUAAAUUAAUAUGAACAUCUUACCUUUUAAAAUUGUCCUCACUCACAAAAAGAGGGAAGGAGACCUUUUAAUAAAGUUCAUAGUAUUGAGAAUUCUACUUGUAAGUUUGUUUCACAUUGGAAAAUUUGAGUGAAUGAUGGGUGCUUAUAUUCAUGGUUGAAAA